GUUUUUAUAAUUUAAUUAAAAUAUUAGUCUUGUAAACUAAAAAUAAGUAGCUUCUUUAAAAACU
rnacentral:tRNA from 1 species